GACGAACGCUGGCGGCGUGCUUAACACAUGCAAGUCGAGCGGAAAGGCCACUUCGGUGGUACUCGAGCGGCGAACGGGUGAGUAACACGUGAGUAAUCUGCCCCUGGCUUUGGGAUAGCCACCGGAAACGGUGAUUAAUACCGGAUAUGACAUGGACUCGCAUGGGUUUGUGUGGAAAGUUUUUCGGCCAGGGAUGUGCUCGCGGCCUAUCAGCUUGAUGGUGGGGUAAUGGCUCACCAUGGCUU
rnacentral:rRNA from 1 species